AGCGUGAAGCCCCCCUCAAGAUGAGAUUUCCCAGUAUGUAAGACCCCUUGAAGACGACGAGGUAGAUAGGUUGGGGGUGGAAGUGCAGUAAUGCAUGGAGCUGACCAAUACUAAUCGGUCGAGGGCUUAUCCUAAA
rnacentral:rRNA from 1 species